GACGAACGCUGGCGGCGUGCCUAAUACAUGCAAGUCGAACGAGAGCGCCCGGUGCUUGCACUGGUCAAUCUAGUGGCGAACGGGUGAGUAACACGUGGGUAACCUGCCCAUCAGAGGGGGAUAACAUUCGGAAACGGAUGCUAAAACCGCAUAGGUCUUCGAACCGCAUGGUUUGAAGAGGAAAAGAGGCGCAAGCUUCUGCUGAUGGAUGGACCCGCGGUGCAUUAGCUAGUUGGUGAGGUAACGGCUCACCAAGGCCGUGAUGCAUAGCCGACCUGAGAGGGUGAUCGGCCACAUUGGGACUGAGACACGGCCCAAACUCCUACGGGAGGCAGCAGUAGGGAAUCUUCCGCAAUGGACGCAAGUCUGACGGAGCAACGCCGCGUGAGUGAAGAAGGUGUUCGGAUCGUAAAACUCUGUUGUUAGAGAAGAACAAGUGCUAGAGUAACUGUUAGCGCCUUGACGGUAGCUAAACAGAAAGCCACGGCUAACUACGUG
rnacentral:rRNA from 1 species